GAUGAACGCUGGCGGCGUGCCUAACACAUGCAAGUCGAGCGAACAGACGAGGAGCUUGCUCGGUUGACGUUAGCGGCGGGCGGGUGAGUAACACGUGGAUAACCUCCCUAAAAGAGUGGGAUAACUUGGAGAAACCGGAGCUAAUCCCGGAGAAUAUAUUGAAACGCAUGGUUCAAUAGAGAAAGACGGCUUUGCGGUGACUUAUCGCUGGAUACGGGCCGCAUUAGCUAGUUGGUACGUUAACGGGCUACCAAGGCGACGAUGCGUAUAAGACCGCAGUGGUGGAUCGCCGACCCGGGAGCUGUGACACCCCCCUGACUCCUACGGGAGGCCGCAGUCUGGAAUCUUCCGCAGUAGUCGGAAACCUGGCGGAGCGACGCCGCGCGAGUGAUAACGGUCUUCGGAUCGUAAAGCCCUGUUAUUGGUGAUGAACCGAUUUGUAAGUAACCAUGCCCUUCUUGACGGUACCGAGUCAAAAAGCCCCGGCUAACUACGUG
rnacentral:rRNA from 1 species